rnacentral:rRNA from 1 species
UGACGCUGAGGUUGGUACUUGUACCGACUGGAUGAGCAGCGAACGGGUGAGUAACGCGUGGGGAAUCUGCCUUUGAGCGGGGGACAACAUUUGGAAACGAAUGCUAAUACCGCAUAAAAACUUUAAACACAAGUUUUAAGUUUGAAAGAUGCAAUUGCAUCACUCAAAGAUGAUCCCGCGUUGUAUUAGCUAGUUGGUGAGGUAAAGGCUCACCAAGGCGAUGAUACAUAGCCGACCUGAGAGGGUGAUCGGCCACAUUGGGACUGAGACACGGCCCAAACUCCUACGGGAGGCAGCAGUAGGGAAUCUUCGGCAAUGGACGAAACUCUGACCGAGCAACGCCGCGUGAGUGAAGAAGGUUUUCGGAUCGUAAAACUCUGUUGGUAGAGAAAANCGUUGGUGAGAGUGGAAAGCUCAUCAAGUGACGGUAACUACCCAGAAAGGGACGGCUAACUACGUGCCAGCAGCCGCGGUAAUACGUAGGUCCCGAGCGUUGUCCGGAUUUAUUGGGCGUAAAGCGAGCGCAGGUGGUUAUUAAGUCUGGNGUAAAAGGCAGUGGCUCANCCAUUGU